GGACUUUUCUGUUCUAAGCAAGUACUUGCUAGCGCGGAAGAGAAUCGAUGAAGGAUUGCGUUCUGCGUUUGGCCUGCGCUGUGCUGCUUCUGCCUUUCAGAAAUGCACUUCAAGAAGCCGGUAGCUAGUUAAUAGCCUUGGCAUGGAGCUCUUAGGCGGUGGAAGCUGGCAGCAGCAAUUCCCAAGUAUAUGUGGAAUUUGAUGACCUUGAAUGGGAAAAACGAGAAUGGGUUAAAGUUUAUGAAGAUUUUGCAACCUUCUUGGUGGAGUACCAGCUGGUCUGGGCAAAAAGAAAGGACCCAAGCCAGACUCAGGGAUCAAAGAUCAAACAAAUUCAGUGGCCUGCAUUGAAUUCCGGUUGCUUCUGCUGGGUUUUGUCAUGAAUCCCAUGACGUGCUGCUGUGUGAAGCCUCAA
rnacentral:lncRNA from 1 species